AGAAGGUGAAAAGUGGGGAGAGAGAGGGGGAGGGAGAGAGAUGGGGGAGGGGGCUAAAUAUAUUUCAUUCUAUUGCAUAGAGUUUGUGCAUGGUUUUUGUGUCAGGAUCAUGUAGGUAGGUCUCUCUCUCUCUCUCUCUCUCUCUCUCUCUCUCUCUCUCUCUCCAUUGCUUU
rnacentral:miRNA from 1 species